AAAGGUCACGGCGAGACGAGCCGUUUAUCAUUACGAUAGGUGUCAAGUGGAAGUGCAGUGAUGUAUGCAGCUGAGGCAUCCUAACAGACCAAUAUAGACUUGAAC
rnacentral:rRNA from 1 species